ACUGGCUGCUUAUUCACUGAACACAUAAAAAAAAUGUACUUCAGGGGACUACAUCUUCUAGCCUUCCUUGAAAACUUCCUUAUUAAGGCCUUAGCUGCUUCUUAUGCUGCCUUGCCAGCAGAGGUGGGGAUGUGUAAGAGUCUGGGAGGAAACAAGGCCAGGAGAGCUGACCCAAAGUAGCCAAAAAGAUGUCCUAUAUCCUGUGAUGUUGCAUUCAGAGGAAGAAGCUGAUGAAAGGAAGAAAGCAGGAAGAAUGUUCAGGGUGAAUCUGUUCAUCUUCCCAAAUAGCCAUUAUCUGUGAUGGGCCCUGCUUUCCUGGAGAAGACUGUCAAGAGAGAAGAAGUGAAUGAACUCCUUGGUUUGCUUUAGUUGCAGCUGUAGUUCCUGCUUCACAUACUGAAGUAUCUUUAUCUUGCCCACACAUUUUUGCUCUGUUACCUUUCCAAUUUUCUCUCAGCUGUUGUGGGGCUGAGAUGCCUACUGAAGUCAGCUCACAGUAUUAGCAGAGACCACAUUAAAAAGAACUUGUCAUCUUAUGAUCAGGGAAUUUCAUUUCCCUGAUAAUCACCACAGCCAAAUCACAGGUUAGAAGACAAAG